GACGAACGCUGGCGGCGUGCCUAAUACAUGCAAGUCGAACGCUUUUUCUUCCACCGGAGCUUGCUCCACCGGAAGAAAAAGAGUGGCGAACGGGUGAGUAACACGUGGGUAACCUGCCCAUCAGAAGGGGAUAACACUUGGAAACAGGUGCGAAUACCGUAUAACACUAUUUUCCGCAUGGAAGAAAGUUGAAAGGCGCUUUUGCGUCACUGAUGGAUGGACCCGCGGUGCAUUAGCUAGUUGGUGAGGUAACGGCUCACCAAGGCAACGAUGCAUAGCCGACCUGAGAGGGUGAUCGGCCACACUGGGACUGAGACACGGCCCAGACUCCUACGGGAGGCAGCAGUAGGGAAUCUUCGGCAAUGGACGAAAGUCUGACCGAGCAACGCCGCGUGAGUGAAGAAGGUUUUCGGAUCGUAAAACUCUGUUGUUAGAGAAGAACAAGGAUGAGAGUAAAAUGUUCAUCCCUUGACGGUAUCUAACCAGAAAGCCAUGGCUAACUACGUG
rnacentral:rRNA from 1 species